UUACGGCCACAUCACGUUGAAACACCGGUCCCCGUACGAUCACUGAAGUUAAGCAACGUCGAGUCUGGUCAGUACCUUGAUGGGUGGCCGCUUGGGAAUACCAGAUGCUGUAAG